rnacentral:miRNA from 2 species
CCUCAUUAAAUGUUUGUUGAAUGA